UCCUCGCUCAAAGAAUCGCAUUCAAAGCUCACACACAGAGAAUACCUCGUAUUCUCUACCCCCCUUUUGCUUUGGGAGAAAGUCCCCGGACACCCUGGCUGUCUAAACGUCCCCUCGUGGACCCAGUCAGGCAAUGCGGAAACGCGCCGCCAUAGAAGCAAUUCGAUAGCGGCUGAUUGCCCUAUUCCCUCCCAGUGCUGGCGCUGUAUCCGACACUAGCUGGCUGAAAGGUCAGGUGGUGGAACCAAUGGUGGUACGGCACGGUGCUGGAGAGGGGGUUUUAUCUGGGUUGCCUUUCGUCGUGUUUGGAUAGUCAUGCGAUUGCCCUCGUUUCUGGUCUCUUCGUUUGAGGGGAUUGGAGAGGGUAACUCAAUGGGGCUCAUUCUUGAGGCGAGG
rfam:Aspergillus carbonarius ITEM 5010 unplaced genomic scaffold ASPCAscaffold_4, whole genome shotgun sequence.